CGACUCGGCUCGUCUUGUCUCCCUCCAGGAUGGUGCGCAGCCGACACGGGCUUAUUGUGUGUAAUGACUACCUUUGCAACGGCUUAAACAAAUAUGUGACGCUGUGAUAUGCAUAAGGCUAUGUUGCUUGUUGGACGAAUAGAUUCCGCACCUACGGUCGCACAAUGCGCAAAGCGUUUGCUGUUGCAUUCACUUCAACUAGCGGGUUAUGUUGGCGUUAAAUGGAAGAAGGCUUUCGAUCGGGACUGAAAAUGUUCGACAAGGAGGUUUCUAAGCAACCCUGGUCCGCUUUGACUGAAUCACUUUAGUGUGUGUGUGUGUGUGUGUGUGUGUGUGUGUGUGUGUGUGUGUGUGUGUGUGUGUGUGUGUGUGUGUGUGUGUGGCACACACACGCCCCCUAGUCCUCUCCCAGGGGACUAGGAAUGUUCACUUGAUGCAUGACUUGGUUUCCCCACUUCUAGUAUUACUGAUUUAUUAGAUCACGUUCGUUCAUUUUGGAGUUAGUCUAGGGCUGAUUAAAUUUUGGAGCUGGUCUCUAAAGACCAGAGACCAGACCUCGAUGAAACGUCAGCUUGCUGCUGCAGAUGUGCACUGAUGGGGACAUUAGAACCAGGCUAAUGGAGCAGACAGGGAGAGGAGAACCGAGAACGUUUCACAAUGUUGCCACGCGAACCACGGGGAUCUGGAACAGGUGGUUUAACCCCGUCUCUGUGUGAGGGUUCUGGCUCAACCCGCUCCCGUCCAGGCUUAUCUCCCUGGUUUCCUCGGCUCCCGAGAUAGCGGUCCCCGCCACCUCCCUCUUACAUAACAACCCCCCAGCCAACAAGGCUUCCUAAUCCUAUCGGCUUCGCAAACACUCCACCGACAACAAGUGGCUGAGCGUUGGAACCGCCACUCAGAUCGGCCCUAAAUCAGAAUUGUGCGCUUUUAUUUUGACACGCUGUCGUGGAGCCAGGAGGAAUAGGAACCAGGAUCCUUUGGUUCUGCAGUUCCUUUGUGCUCCUGCAUGCCUGCAGCCAAGGACAGCCCACUCUGUUAGUGUUAUAGACGCUUGUUACAAGGAGGGAAAUAACAUCAUUCUCGUGAAUAUGAACAAGCCUGUUCGGGAAGCCCUUUGAUGGAGGCAAGAGGAUGGACCACGGCGGGUCCCAGGGCCAACCAGCCCCGCAGCCGCAGCCGCACCCCUCCCAGGGCCCCUUCCCCCAGUACUCCCAGUACCCCCAGUACGCCCAGUACCCCCAGUACCACCAGUACCACCAGUACUACCAGUACCCCCCGCCGCCGCCGCAGCAGCCGCAGCCGUACCAGCCGCAGCACCCCACCAUGACCCGGCUGUACGAGGUGCAGCGCGAGGUGGCCUCGCUGGGGCCCCAGGUGUGCACCUUCAGCGGCCUGCAGGACGAGCGCGAGUACAAGCGGCUGGAGCGCGAGCUGGCGCGCCUGCAGACGGACGUGGACGGGCUGGACACGGAGGGCCGCGGCGAGCUGCAGGCGGCGCGCAAGCGGGCGGCGCAGGAGCUGGAGGGCCUCCUGCGCUACCUGGAGGAGAACGCCCGCCACCCGUCCCGCCUGGCCAUCGAGGAGCUGAGCCGGGAGGCGCGGCGGCUGGUGGACGAGGGCGUGGUGGCGCCGCAGCGGGCGGGCGGCGCGCCCGAGAUCGGCGACGAGCUGGUGGACGCGCUGCAGGCGGUGGUGCUGCGGCUGACGCAGGUGAAGACGGAGGGGCGCGUGCCGCUGCGCAAGGCGCGCUACCGCGCCCUGACGCGGCUGUGCGCCGUGCAGGCGGUGGUGGAGGGGCGCACGCGGCAGCAGACGCUGUCGCUGCCGCUGUCGGGCGACACGCACGCCUCGGUGCACCGCGUGAACCAGGCCAUGGUGGAGGUGAGCGUGGCCCGCAGCCAGCUGGUGGCGCUGCUGAUGGGGCUGAGCGGGCGCGACAGCUGCGCCCACCUCUCCCGCGUGCUGACGGAGCUGCUGGUGGAGCUGGACGCCCUGGACGUGUCGGGCAACGCGGCCGUCAGGAACUACCGCAAGCAGGUGGUGGAGGAGAUCAACGGGCUGCUGAAGCACCUGGACCUGGAGGUGGAGGGCGACGACACGCGCAGGUACGACCUGGCGCAGAACGACUCCAUCCGGGAGAUCGAGGCGGUGCGCGGCCACGUGUCCCACCUGCGGGGCGAGGUGCUGCGCUACGCCGGCUCCCGGGACGAGAUCCGGCCCAAGGCGGAGCUGCAGAGCCUGCUCACCCACCUGGACCAGGUGGACACGGCCAAGAACCCCUGCAUCCGCGAGGCGCGCCGCCGUGCGGUCCUGGAGGUGCAGGCGCUGGUCACCUUCCUGGACCUCCGCGAGGCCCUGGCGCGCCGGCAGACGGGCCCCGGGGAGCCGCCCGCGCACCGGGCCGUGUGGCUGGUGCUGGGCAGCCUGUCGGAGCUCCAGGCGCAGGUGCUGGGCUUCGGGGGCAAGCGCGCCGACAAGAGCUACAUCCUGCUGGAGGAGCUGCUCACCAAGCAGCUGCUGGCCCUGGACGCCGUGGACCCCCAGGGGGACGAGAGCACCAAGGCCGCCCGCAAGCAGGCCGUCAAGUUCGCCCAGAACAUUCUGGGCUACCUGGACCUGAAGACGGACGAGUGGGAGUACUGAGCGUCCCCCCCGUCCCCGUCCCCCCCCCUCUCCCCCCGGGCGUCUCCAGGGCAGGGGGAAGCUCGGAGCAGGAAAAACGGGAACGCUUUGUAAAUAAACGGCUCCGUCCGGCGGUCCGCCGUGUGUAAAUACGGACUCCGACUCCCAGAAUACACUGCGGCGGCGUGUCGUGCUCCCUUGUUGUCGGUGUCGCCGUGGCGAGAAGCCACGGGCAAGAACAACACAUUUUGUGAGAUACACGUAAAAAAAACGUAUUCCAGUGACACUUUUGCUUUUUGAAGGUUUACAGAGUUUUUUCUAAAGAAUAUCCUGUAUGUGGUCGUAUGCAAGUUGUCCCGUUAUGUGUCCUCGUGUUUGUCGUCUAUUCGCCGGCUGCAAAAGCGCUAAAAAAAACAACACAUCCGUCUACGUCGCUGCAGGCGUCAGCGAGCCGCACAACCGGGCCCACGUUAACCCUCGCUCGCGACCCUCUACUGCGGUCCGACGGUAACUCACACAGAGAACCCCCGCGCGCUGAACGGCGAGGGGGGGGGGGGGGGGGGGCGGUGACGGCGGGAUCAGUGAUGGAGCGCCAUGUAGGUUCGGACGCCGGUGGACGUGGCGGCCACGAAACGUGCACCUUGACCCGCUCUUAAACCAAAAGAUUGGUUCUAUUUAAAGUGUGAUACCAAGGGUGCCGGCGUACGCACAACAUGGCAAGAAAGUCGACCUCAGACUGAUUCCACCUCCGGAGGCGGCUCCACAAACACAGAGGCGCUGCCAGGACUGACACCGCGGGGGGGGGGCAACGCUACGCUCACACUUGGACGGCCCCGGGGUGUUCAUUCGGAAGCAGGAUAUUAAAAGCGCCCCCAUUUAGAGAUCAGCCCAUUAGAGACACACUCCCGUCACAAUGGGGAGUGUCUACUCAUAUGUAUGAUGGGUAGUUCGGCCUACCAGUUAGUGCACUGCAGCAGGUAGGCUGGUAGGUUAUCAGUAGACCAGAGACUACCAGUUGGUACAAUCCACUGGUUACUGGUAGGUUAGUCAACUGGUUAUUGGUAGGUUAUCAGUAGACCAGAGACUACCAGUUGCUACAGUCAAGCUGGUUGCUGGUAGGUUAUCAGUAGACCAGAGACUACCAGUUGCUACAGUCCAGCUGGUUACUGGUAGGUUAUCAGUAGACCAGAGACUACCAGUUGGUACAGAACACUGGCUAGGCGAGUCUAUCUAAACUAGGCUCCAUGAGAGUUGACGCACGCUUGGAUCUGUUACAUUCGAGGCCAAAGUCUUUAAAGACCCUAAUUACAGCGAGAGCAGUUGGUGUUUUUACAGCACUGACGCUAGGUCACUCUACCAGCAUGCUAGCAUGAUUAGCUGGUGUGUGUGUGUGUGUGUGUGUGUGUGUGUGUGUGUGUGUGUGUGUGUGUGUGUGUGUGUGUGUGUGUGUGUGUGUGUGUGUGUGUGUGUGUGUGUGUGUGUGUGUGUGUGUGUCUUGAGAUACCAGCGCUGGCCUCCCUGUUAUUUUGUCACUGAGCAAACCUGAUUAAAGAAACCCUACCACCCCACCCGGUGUGGUGUUCAAAGUGCCCCCGACAGUGGCACCCCAAGUGGGAGUGUAGAUCCCUAUACCAGCCCACUAUACCACCUGUGUAUCCACUGGUCGGUUUAUCCAUCCAUCAUACUGGCUGGACACGCCCCCUUGUGAGGUCACUAAUGGGCGGGUUUUUGAAAUGGCUUGUAAUGGCUGAUCAACGUCACACACACUCGAACAGCAAAACACCAUUUCCUCUUCCUUCAGUCGUGACUGUGUGUGCACUGGCCUGUCGUCGGACUAGGGCGGGGUCCAGACAGAAAGCUCCUCAAGGGGGGGGGGUGUGACUGACCAGCGCUAGGGGGAGAGGGAGGUGUUGGGAGUAAGGUCAGGAGGACCUGGACUGGUAUGACGGCUGAAAGCAACACAUGACCUGACAGUUCGGUGGAUAGCCCUAGCUGAACAUAUUUAGCGGGCUGGCUGGUAGUUGCUAGCUGACCGUUGCUAGGUACAGUUGCUGGCUAGCUGGUAGUUGCUAGCUGACCUGAGCUGGCGACCGUUGCUAGGUGUAAUGGCUGGCUAGCUGGCAGUAGCUAGCUUCCAGGCGCCAGCGGUGAUGUGAUUACAGUUGACAGCGUUGGAGUCUCCGCUGGACUGCGGAGGAGGGAGGAGGAGUAUAGAAUCUCUGUGCCUUUAUUUAUAACCUCCCCUUUUGUCUGUUGAACAAAGACUCCACAACCACGCUUUCAAUGUCUUAAUGCACAAAACGUAGGAGAAUAGGACUGAAUGUUGGUAGUUAAUAUAUGUAUCCCCAAUAAAUAAAUUUGCACUAGUCA